ACGGGCCCGGGACACUGAUUGAUGGUGCUUGCACCUGAUUGACGUUGGAUCACCAGUGAGUGGCGGACGGGUGAGUAACACGUAGGUAACCUGCCCCGGAGCGGGGGAUAACAUUUGGAAACAGAUGCUAAUACCGCAUAACAACAAAAGCCACAUGGCUUUUGUUUGAAAGAUGGCUUUGGCUAUCACUCUGGGAUGGACCUGCGGUGCAUUAGCUAGUUGGUAAGGUAACGGCUUACCAAGGCGAUGAUGCAUAGCCGAGUUGAGAGACUGAUCGGCCACAAUGGAACUGAGACACGGUCCAUACUCCUACGGGAGGCAGCAGUAGGGAAUCUUCCACAAUGGGCGCAAGCCUGAUGGAGCAACACCGCGUGAGUGAAGAAGGGUUUCGGCUCGUAAAGCUCUGUUGUUGGAGAAGAACGUGCGUGAGAGUAACUGUUCACGCAGUGACGGUAUCCAACCAGAAAGUCACGGCUAACUACGUGCCAGCAGCCGCGGUAAUACGUAGGUGGCAAGCGUUAUCCGGAUUUAUUGGGCGUAAAGCGAGCGCAGGCGGUUGCUUAGGUCUGAUGUGAAAGCCUUCGGCUUAACCGAAGAAGUGCAUCGGAAACCGGGCGACUUGAGUGCAGAAGAGGACAGUGGAACUCCAUGUGUAGCGUGUGU
rnacentral:rRNA from 2 species